ensembl:snRNA U6 U6 spliceosomal RNA
GUGCUCACUUCGGCAGCACAUAUACUAAAAUUAGAACGAUACAGAGAAGAUUGGCGUGGCCUCUGCACAAGCAUAACAUGCAAAUUCUUGAAGUAGUCCAUAUUUUA